GCUGGGUACAGCGGUGCAUGCCUGUAAUCCUAGCAGCUCAGGAGGUUGAGGCAAGAGGAUUGCAAGUUCAAAGACAGCCUCAGCAACUCAGUGAGGCCCUAAGAAACUUAGCGAGACCCUGUCUCAA
rnacentral:sRNA from 1 species